UAAGACAGAGGGCCCGAGCGUUGAUCGGAUUUAUUGGGCUUAAAGGGUGCGUAGGCGGGAGUGCAAGUGUCUUGUGAAAUCCCACGGCUCAACCGUGGAACUGCAGGGCAAACUGCUCUUCUUGAGGCCGGAAGAGGCUGUCGGAACUCUAGGUGUAGCGGUGAAAUGCGUAGAUAUCUAGGGGAACGCCAAGGGCGAAGGCAGACAGCUGGGCCGGUUCUGACGCUGAGGCACGAAAGCGUGGGUAGCAAACAGGAUUAGAUACCCUGGUAGUCCACGCCGUAAACGAUGUGCACCAGACCCGGGGGGUUCUGACGCCCUCCGGAUCGCAGGGUAACCUUAGAGUGCACCGCCUGGUGAGUACGGUCGCAAGGCUA
rnacentral:rRNA from 1 species